GGAGGGAGGGCAGGGAGGAAGCAAGAGAGAAAUCCCCAGGGAGUCUUGGCUUCCCCAGCGGCCUCCCGGUCCGGCUCCCCGUCACCUUAGCGUGCCAGCUCUCCCCUCGAGCUGGAGAACGGGAACGCCUGAGGGGCGUGCAGCAAGGGCACCGGAGGGCGCAGGGGCUCGGAGCUCCCAGGCACCCCUGUGUUCCCAGGCCCCCACCUCCCUGGACUACAGCGAGCCGUGGGGGAGGAGAGAUGGGGAAAGCCUGAACUGCCGAGAGGGAAACGGCCAGAUGAGAAGCGGAGAGGCCGGGCGGAAGGCGGCCGAGGCAGAAUUGGGAAGGGGUGUUCGAGGUCCUACCUGACUCAGCCAGGGCCUCCUGGGAGCAACAUGGAAGUUGCCUCAAGCAAAGUAUCACAUCAGAGGGAGCCACUGGAACGCAUCUGUGAGGGUGAGAAGCACCGUGCCACGGGGAUGGAGCGCCCCCUCUCCUGCUCCACCUCCGUGCAGAAGCACCAGCCCCGGCUGCCUCCAGAUCAGAACUGUCCUCAAGAUGGAGAGGGAGGCAGCGUCUUACUCCUGUCACGGAUCUGUUCACUCAACAACUGUUCAUGGAACACCGCCCCCCACCCCCACCCAGGUCUCGGGCCCUGUACUAAGUGUUGGGGACAGAUACAAGUGUUAAAAAAGCUCUCCACCUCAGCUCUGUUUUGGUCUCUCUCUCAGUAGUCAAGGUAACCUCUCCACAGAUAUUUUUAAAAAGCCCCAAGUCGUAUCUCCUUCCUACUCCUCAGUUUUUAUUGGUGUAUCUUAAAAGGGCGCAAUGAGGGGGAAGAAGGAAAGAGCUCUGCCAACUUUGGAUCUCUGGGCAGCUUGGACCUCACACCCUCUUGCCAGUCAUCCAGCCACAGGCAGGUCUUCACUGAGCCAGAAUUGUCAGUUGCAGCUCUGGGGUUGAAACUCACACCAGUUUUAUUGUGUCUGUGUGCGUUCCAUGGCAAUACCCACCCAACACUCUAUAGAAGCUUCCUCUGCUUCUGUGAAGAAAUAAAUAAACCAGGAGACAGACACACACACCCCACCACCUUCGAGAGGAAGAAUGUAGGUCAGCAUCUCUGCCACUACUCCAUGUGAAACGGCCUAUGCUCCUGGCAGAAACCAGUAACCACAAGCCCAGCCCAGCCCCCUUAAAAUCCCACUGGCUUCCCAGGGCUCUCAGCUUCGGCGAGGAAAGGACUUUCUUCCUGCUCUCAGUCUGCUCCCCGGCUGUCUGAAUUACAUUUAAGACUCCGCUGACAAAACAUACAUCAGCCUGUGCUCCCACAAGGGCAGCGGAAGCCAAGCAGGGACUCGAAGUCAGCUUCACGCAUCGUUGACGGAACCAACCCUGUUCCAAUUGCUGAAGUCUUAAGAGCAGCAAUGACCUAGAAAUUGACAGUGGGGGGAGAACCGAAGGGAAGGAAAACGAACAAACCAGUACACAGAAAACCCGAUUUCCUAAUACCAGGGGAAAGGGAGAGGGAGGAGGUAGAGGGGGGAAGAAAUUUGGCCUCUUUGAAUCUGCAAAUGCGAUCUUGGCUCAGUGCCAUAGAGGAUCCACAGCGGCCCCAGUGCGAGUCAAGCCAUGUUCCUGACUCCAGCCCUACAGUUAAGAGGAAGGCGCCAAGCCUCAAACACAACGAGGUGGGGAGGUUGCUCCUCUUUGGGCAGGAUCCUACUGUGGACACAGAACAGACAGCAGCUGCCCACAGUGUGGAAACAAACUGUAAAGCAGUCACGUCUCUUAAGGCU